UUUAAUUGAGCAUUAUCGUACAAGUUCAAGGGUCUAUCGUUUUUUAUUAAACAAUAAAGUUCAAGGGGGCUAAUCAUUCGAAACCCUAACUAUACCCUAACCCUCGGAGAGGGGCGAUGGCGUUUGGGGAGAGAGACGGCGGUGGUGGAGUGAUCGGAAAGAACGGGUACAGUGGAAGAGGAUGGGCGAUAUCUCCCAACGGAGGCAAUGCCGGAGUUCUUGAUGGCUGCAGGGUUCGAUCGAUUUCCAACCUCCGCCAUCAGAAGCGGCCGUAGAAAUUGAGCCUACUCAAACAGUCUCUGAAUUACAUUGUGCCCUAGAAUCGAUGUCAAGAGCCUCUGAAUCAAGAAACGCCAUGUGAGAUCCCAAAAUUUCAUGAUUAUUUACUCUCUCUCUAUUUGUUUUUGGUGGUGGUGGUUUGGGUUUGGAAGGGCGUGGGUGGUUUGUAUGGGGUUUUAAAGGCUCUGAUUUUGAUGAAAUUAAUGAUGGAUUUUGUUUAAUUUGUUUCACUAUUUGAUCAAUCUUAUUGCAAUCUGGGAACAUGUUACCGACCCUUUCUUCUCCGCAUACCUAUCUCUGCAAGACUGAAACUACUGAGGAAGAAAUAUCAAAGGUUCUCCCUUCGAGAGGAACCUUAAAACACCUCCAUAACCUCACAAGAGAAAAUAUUAGUCUGAAAGAUAUUUAGAAUUCUUGCAGAACAUUCUUAUAUACCAAUACAUAAAAGACCAAACAAACCUGUUCUCCACUACCAACUACCCAGUACUACAACUAAUACACGACUACUAUCAUUACAUAUCAGAUAAUAACAAAUAAAUAACCUUUAAAAUCACCAAUUAAACCCCUUACAUUAAUUCCCACAUCAGAACACGGGAUGGGAGGACUGUGAUUACAGUUUGGUUUUGGUGAAAUUAUUGCAUUAUUUUCGUUAUUUGAUAGAUUGGUGGUGGCGGUUGCAGGUAAAGGGAUGGCUGAUGGAGGUGGUCUUGGGAUUCCAUUAUCCAUUGUCUUUAAUUGACACAUAUUGAAAACCUGAAGGGCUAAUUCGCCGCAAUUGAAAGGAUACGGAUCAAAUUAACCCAAUGAGGAAAACUUAGGGACUAUUGGUACUUUCCCUUUAACUAGCCCAGAUAGCACAUUUACUAGAUAUUAGGGCAGGAUAUGUUAUAUGAACUCGGGUAUAUACGAGUGUCA
rnacentral:lncRNA from 1 species